rnacentral:rRNA from 1 species
GGGGAAUAUUGCACAAUGGGGGAAACCCUGAUGCAGCGACGCCGCGUGGAGGAAGAAGGUCUUCGGAUUGUAAACUCCUGUUGUUGAGGAAGAUAAUGACGGUACUCAACAAGGAAGUGACGGCUAACUACGUGCCAGCAGCCGCGGUAAAACGUAGGUCACAAGCGUUGUCCGGAAUUACUGGGUGUAAAGGGAGCGCAGGCGGGAAGACAAGUUGGAAGUGAAAUCCAUGGGCUCAACCCAUGAACUGCUUUCAAAACUGUUUUUCUUGAGUAGUGCAGAGGUAGGCGGAAUUCCCGGUGUAGCGGUGGAAUGCGUAGAUAUCGGGAGGAACACCAGUGGCGAAGGCGGCCUACUGGGCACCAACUGACGCUGAGGCUCGAAAGUGUGGGUAGCAAACAGGAUUAGAUACCCUGGUAGUCCACACCGUAAACGAUGAUUACUAGGUGUUGGAGGAUUGACCCCUUCAGUGCCGCAGUUAACACAAUAAGUAAUCCACCUGGGGAGUACGACCGCAAGGUUGAAACUCAAAGGAAUUGACGGGGGCCCGCACAAGCAGUGGAGUAUGUGGUUUAAUUCGACGCAACGCGAAGAACCUUACCAAGUCUUGACAUCCUGCGACGGUGCUGGAAACAGUAUUUUCCUUCGGGACGCAGAGACAGGUGGUGCAUGGUUGUCGUCAGCUCGUGUCGUGAGAUGUUGGGUUAAGUCCCGCAACGAGCGCAACCCUUAUGGUCAGUUACUACGCAAGAGGACUCUGGCCAGACUGCCGUUGACAAAACGGAGGAAGGUGGGGAUGACGUCAAAUCAUCAUGCCCUUUAUGACUUGGGCUACACACGUACUACAAUGGCGUUAAACAAAGAGAAGCAAGACCGCGAGGUGGAGCAAAACUCAGAAACAACGUCCCAGUUCGGACUGCAGGCUGCAACUCGCCUGCACGAAGUCGGAAUUGCUAGUAAUCGUGGAUCAGCAUGCCACGGUGAAUACGUUCCCG